CAGCCGCCGCGGUAAUACGUAGGUGGCAAGCGUUGUCCGGAAUUAUUGGGCGUAAAGGGCUCGCAGGCGGUUUCUUAAGUCUGAUGUGAAAGCCCCCGGCUCAACCGGGGAGGGUCAUUGGAAACUGGGAAACUUGAGUGCAGAAGAGGAGAGUGGAAUUCCACGUGUAGCGGUGAAAUGCGUAGAGAUGUGGAGGAACACCAGUGGCGAAGGCGACUCUCUGGCCUGUAACUGACGCUGAGGAGCGAAAGCGUGGGGAGCGAACAGGAUUAGAUACCCGCGUAGUCCCUGUCUCUUAUAC
rnacentral:rRNA from 1 species